UGCAGACUUGGAAAAGUAAGUAAAGGUUCUGUACUCUGUUUAAAAUGAGCACACAGCUGCCCUCUAGUUGAUCUUCACCGUUGCCGACUCGACCGUAAGUUUACACAAUAGCAAAGAGGAGAAGCCGAGUAAACACACUUACUUCUUCCACACGGUACAUUACAGUAGUGGACAUUUAGUGUCAAAAGGGAACAACACAAAGGUAAACAUUUAUGAGACGGCUCAACUGUCUUUACAUCCCGUUUUGAAAUAAACAAAUGAAACGCUCCAAGAUGACAAAAACAAAUCUACGAUCUCAUUUCUAUCUAAUUAUUCCAUGCUGCCAGAGUGGGUGCUCCAAAGUGGCUUUAGUACCAGUUUAGGUUUGAAACAGAAGUUACUUAACUUCAUAUCAAGUACUUUGAAACAUCUGUCUGAUUCAUAUUUGAUGUGUGUCUUACAGGUGACCUGGGGUCCGUUUCACAAAGCAGGUUCAAUAAAACUCUGAGUCUAACCCUGAACUCUAGCUGAUCUACUCUGAGAUAGGAAACUCUGUGUUUUCGGUUCCACAACAGCUGAUUUGAGUUAGUUAAAUCAACUUGGAGUAGUUUCACCUGGGGUUAAGUGCGAGCACCACAACUUUAAAAAGACAGCAUCAAUGGAGCCCCGAUUCGACGAGUCACCACGGCAAAGGAGAAGAAGAGGGCGGCAUUUUUCACCCCACUGGAACUGGACAUCCUUAUUCGCUCAUAUGGCGAGUUUGAGCAUGUUUUU